GGCCCUAGAUGUGCGUGCCGGAACCCAAGGGGCUCGCAUUUGGGCCCGAACUGGAUGCAGCUUUGAUGGAGCCGGACGUGGGAGAUGUCAAACAGGUGAUUGUGGGGGUGUCCUCCAAUGCCAAGCCUAUGGCCAACCCCCAAACACCCUAGCUGAGUAUGCCCUUAACCAGUACAACAACUUGGAUUUCUUUGACAUUUCCCUUGUUGAUGGCUUCAACGUCCCUAUGGACUUUAGCCCCACGUCUAAUGGGUGCACCAAGGGCAUCAGAUGUACCGCUGAUAUUAAUGGGCAGUGUCCUAACCAACUGAGGGCUCAAGGAGGCUGCAACAACCCUUGCACUGUGUUCAGGACUGAUAAAUAUUGCUGCAAUUCUGGGAGCUGUGGCCCAACAGACUUGUCUAGGUUUUUUAAGGAUCGGUGCCCGAGUGCUUAUAGCUACCCGAAGGAUGAUCCAACGAGCACAUUUACAUGCCCUGGCGGGACCAACUAUAGGGUUGUGUUCUGCCCAUGAAGCAGAUACAUCUUCUAGGUUUAUAAUAUCUAUGAAUAAGUCUGUGAUCAAAUAAAAUUAUGGUCUGAGCUGAGGGCUUGUACUCUCACACUUGAGUACAGUCAUAUCAUAAUUAACAUCAAAGAUGAAUGUAUCCUGCUUUGGAUUCAGAAUAUUUUUCUUAAUACUUGUCGAUUUUGCUUCAUUGGUUAUUGCUUUUUCUAUCACCGAAAGGUAUAUCUUCAGUGGCCAUUCCUGGAAAAUGGAUUCAUGGUCUCUCUAGGGAAGCUUCUCUUAUUUUCUUUAGUUUAUUUUUCAGAUUGUUUUUAGAGUGUCUGGUUCUAUCUAUUUUGGAACCCAAAUUGUCCCUUUAACUGUUUGGGCAGCAAAGUUUUGCAAACCUUCGAGUAUAAUAUUCCACUAAUUGUAGUAUUUAUUUUUACUUUGAUUGAAGGCGAAUGCCUGAUUUUGAGAAUUUCUUUUAUGCUCUUUGAGACUUGUAUAGCUAACCUCGUCACUGCUGGCUCCGCUCGGUGCUCUCUUAGUCAAGUCAAUACGUUACAAAGUUGUAUUUUUUACUUUGGCGCAUUAACCCAAAAGGAAAUCUAAACACAAACAUGUAUACGACUCUUAGGAAUAUUAGGAAAGGGGUAAUCAAGCACUUGACUUAGGAUAUAUGCAUAACUGCGCUUAACCAUUUGAGCUACAAACUCUUAUUAACGAUUAUCUAAGACUACUAAUAACAAUAUUCUCUUUCAUAUUAGGAAAAUGAUGAUUUUGGUCUCUCUACUUUGAAUGUGAUUUUCUACUGAGUCUCAUAAUUAAUUAUAAAAAAAAUUCAACAAUGGAACUCUAUUGAAUAAUGUUUCCUCGUUUAUAUCAUUUAUUUUAUUGUGUAUUUUUUAUGCAUCACGUGACAUAAUAUCGUGUAGCAAAUACAUCAAAAUUAUACAGCAUGUGCUAUUAUCAACAUCUAAACCCUAAACAUUUUGAGUAGUACAUGUAUUAGAUACACCAUAUAAGCAUGUCCCAUGUAUAAAGAAUACACUAUAUUUCCUUUUUCAUUUUUGUCAUUCCAAUUAAAAUCUAUAUAGAUUAAAUUUAUGGGACACCAUCAACAGGUUUGCCUACAGAGGGUUCUUCCGGCUACAUGUAUAUGGCCUUGCUCUUAAUCCUGCCACGAUUGAACUCCUUUUUAUGUAACUUGAUUGCAUGCCAUUUGUCAGAUUCGAAAGCACAUUUUAGAAAAUUUGUAUACUGAAUUCUGCAACAAAGUAUUGUUUCUUAGUGUCAUCACAUGUUUUCCGUGAGAAACCUAAUAAUGAUAACAUAUAAGGCCUGAAACAUAACGUGAAGGAUGAUUUUGUUGCCAAAUUCAGGUGGCUUUGUUUGCUGUGAUCAUCGAGGACGUGGCUUCAUCGAUCAUGUCAAGCCAAACUAAUCUUAUAAACGUGUAAAUGUUUGUGCUCAUAUGAACAUCAUCUCUGUAAUAUUUUGUACCAAUGUCAACCACGUCAUCACACCUCCCCGAGAAACCACCCCAACCCAAAACGGCAAACCUCUUUAUAUAAAACCCUACACAAGCUCAAACACUACAUAACCCAAUCACCAAAAUGAGUCUUUUCAUCAAACACUACUUACCCAUCACUUUCUUCCUCGCCAUCCCUCUCUACUCCAUCUUGUCCCAUGCAGCCAGUUUCAACAUCCGAAACAACUGCCCCUACACUGUCUGGGCAGCAGCUGUGCCAGGCGGUGGCAGACAGCUCAACCGAGGCCAAACAUGGACGCUAAAUGUGAAGCCUGGAACUAAAAUGGCUCGAAUUUGGGCCCGAACCAAUUGUGCCUUCGACAACUCAGGUCGUGGCCGGUGCCAAACCGGCGACUGCGGAGGAUUCCUCCAAUGCCAAGCCUAUGGUUCACCCCCAAACACCCUAGCCGAGUAUGCCCUAAACCAAUUUGGAAACAAGGACUUUUUCGACAUUUCACUUGUAGACGGGUUCAAUGUUCCAAUGGAAUUUAGUCCCACGUCUAAUGGGUGCACCAGGGGGAUCAAAUGUGCUCAAGAUAUCAAAACGCAGUGCCCUAAUGAGUUGAAGGCCCCAGGUGGCUGCCACAACCCUUGCACUGUGUACAAAACUGACAAGUAUUGUUGCAAUUCGGGGAGAUGUGGGUCUACAAAUUUAUCCAAGUUUUUUAAGGAUCGGUGUAGGGAUGCUUAUAGUUACCCUAAAGAUGAUCUAACUAGCACUUUUACUUGUCCUGGUGGGACUAAUUACAAGGUUGUGUUCUGUCCUUGAAUCACGUUGUUUCUCCAAGUUAUGUUGUGUGGCGUUUGUAAGAUGUGUACUAAUAUGAAUCCUUAAUAAAUUGUGGCCACGACAAGAGUUUGAUUUUCAUAUCUCCUGUCUUCAAAUUUACAGAUUUAAUUGCGUGGUUGGAACAUUAAUUUUUUUUUUUUUUUGAAUUAUACAUAUGCAACACACUAAAAUGAGUAUAAAAAACUGUUAAUCAAUAUAUGCUGUCAGAAAAUAAUUCAGUUCUGGUGGUACCUUUUUAUUUUAUCUCUUUCAAUCUCAUCAAAGCUUAUGUUGAAUUCAUCAUCAGCCGUUGCAUGAUCCUUCAAAAUUUCACAUUAGAGAAAAGAGAGCAAACGAGAAUCGAGGACAACCUCCCAGAAAAAGGACAUACACCUUGAAAUUCUGGCAAGUCAUCGUCGGCUCAUUUCUACUCUCCACCUCUUCAUGCAAGACUCUUAGACAAAUGGAAUUAUUAAUGAUCUACCACUCCAUUUUAGGUUCUUUCACUAUUAUUCCAUUCAAACGUGUGACAUAAUUAGUAUAUUAUGGACCCAAGAAGAAUUAAGCAAAUGGGAUGCAUGGAUAAAAUCUUCACGACAUUUUGGGGUUGGUCUGGGGUUCAAAUCGAUCUCUAUCUUUUCUAGUUUAAUUCCGUCUUGUAGCUUUUUCGAGAAGCAAUCAUUUCGACCAUAUCCUUUUGGUCCAUCAACCAUAUAUAUAUGUUCAUUGGAUCCAACUUUGACAUUCAAUUUGCGCUUUAUUCUGUGCAAUCUUAUCAUUUUAUAUGCUCAAAACAUGCGUCGCAACAAUUUCUAUUUUUUAUAUUUUAUAAAAGCAACUUUUUUCCCGGUCUAGUUAAUAAUGCAAUAUUCUUGGUCCCUCUCCACAUGCAUUCGUUUGUGAAUCUAGUUUUUAUUUCCUUUAUAGUAAAAGUUCAUCUUCGUUUUUUACCCCUCAUUUUUCCUUUUAGAGAAUCAUAUAGGUUUCAUUUUCAGUCUCGACCAAAUGGGUAGACGUAGACUGCUACACUAAAAAAAGGAGAAAAUACAAAAACAUAAAAGAAAAUUGAAUCCAACUGAUUACUGAAAAGUUAAUACUUUUAAAGUUCUUUUUUUAAAAGUUACGGUCAAUGAUCGCUGUUUUUUCAAAGCAAGGAUAACCCAGCUUUUAAAAGCUGUUUUAAAAAAAUUGGUUUUAUUUAUUUAUUUAUAAUCACAAAUGAUAUACCUAUAUUUUAUUUAAAUAAAUAUUUAAAUUUAUAUUUUUCAUAAGUACAUUAUUGGAUAUGUAAUUUACACACACACAUAUAUAUAUAUAUAUUUUUCUGGUUUCCAAUUUGAGGGGCGAUAUGUUAGAGGGAAUGGCAACCUAAAGAAAUAGGGUGAUUGAUAUGCUACUAAUAGGGAGUAUUAAUUACAAUUAUGACAGUUAAUGAAAUGUUUGAAAUAAAUUAUAAAUAAAAUAUGAAGUCUUGUGGCAACGAUGUAAAAACACAGGAAUACUAUGACCUCUUAUAUCCUACUGGUCAUUUAAAUUUAAAAUUGAGUUUUACACAUAAAUUUAUAGAGUAAUGGAUAUAUGUUUAGAAAAUAAAAAAUGUAAGGACUUAUAUUGGACAAGCCCUGAAAUAUAUUAAUACUUACUAAUAUGUUAGUUUAAAAUAACUUUUAAUGGUUGUUGUCUUUCGUACAAAUAAUGCUCAGCAUCAACACAAAUAUUUCUCGAUUUAUAUAAGAUAUUGGAGUGAACUAAAUAUGGUUGGCAACUGAGAGAAUGCCAACCUAUCAAGCUUUUUGAUAAUCCACAGUUGAUAAUUGUUGGUAUCUCUCAAAUAGGGAAGACAAACGAUAAUUUACUAGAGCUUGCCAUGGCACUUUUCCUGUGAAGGUAAUUCAAAAGUUUUUGCUUCAUAGAAUAUUGAUUCAAUCUAUUUUCCACUGUUUGUGAUAAGGAACACAAGUCUCCUCGACAAAAUAUAGCCCACAAAAAUGAAGUUUGCUUUUUCUGAGAAAAUCCAAUUAGAGAUUGUGGUAUGCCAAGCAUCUUGCGCAUUUCAACAUUAUCAUACACUCGUUGACUGAUUCAACUAGUUAUCUGGAAAUUUAUUUGUAGUUAGAAUUCGAUCCAUGAGGAGCCUAUGAAAUUUUAACAUCUGUUUGGAAAUUUGUCUUUCUAAAGUCAUGAUGAGCAUAUUAUAUUUUAAGAUCUGGAAUAUGCCAACAUUGACUGGCACAUAGUGAGGAUCUAGAAAGGUCUAAAAUAUUGAUGAUAUCGGAAAUAUCGGUAGUUCAAAAAUAUGGAAAUUUCGAUGGAAAUAUCGGGAUAUUAUCGAUAUUGAUAAAAAUUGAAUAAAAACCAUGGAAAUUGUAAGAAAAACUUGGAAAUUUUUAUUAAAACUUUGGAGAAUGUCUAUUUAGUCAAUUAUCUAUGAGUUUAUCACAAAAAAUUAGAAGGAAAUGCAUUGCAUGAUGGAUUGAACUAAUAUAAGUUGAUUAUACAGCAAGCGGGCAAACACUAUGAGUGUAAAAAAUAUGUAAUAAUUAAUAAAAAAAGAUUCAAUACACCGUAAUCAUUCAUAUAUAAUGAUUUACUAUAAUAUUUUACACUUUAUACAUUGCAUGGUAAGAUACAUAAAUGACUUAGUACCACAUAGAGUUCCUACGAGGUUCAAAUUUUUCACUAUCUUCAUCAUCUCUAUGUGUAGAGUAAGUGUAUUGUGAAGAGUAGUCAUCAAAUGAUAAAUCCCCAAAAUAGUUUUGCAUGUAAUUGUUAACAUACCACCCAUAUAAAUAUAAAUAUUUUAGCAUAUUAUCACAAAAACAUAAGUGAUAUGGUGUUUAAGGUGUUGGAGGAGUAAAAUGGGAGGGGUUCAUAUCCCUUUUGUGCUUUUUUCUCCCCUUUUUCCCUUUUUUUUAAUUUUUUUAUUUUUAUUAAAACUUUUUUUUUCCUUCACAUCGAUAUUUUCGAUAUUUUAGCGAUAUUACACCGAUAUUUUGACAAAAUAUUGCUGAAAUGUGAGCGAAAUUAUUGACAUCGAUAUUUUCCGAUAUUAUCGUCGAUAUUGUCGAUAUUUAUACGAUAUGUACAUGGAUAUGUUCCGAAAUAUCCGUGAUUCAAAAAAAUCGAAAUAUCCUCAAUAUUUCUUCGAUAUUAUCGAUAUUUCAGACUAUGUCUGGAACGAACAACCACUCAAAAUUAAAAUGCUAAUUAGAUUUUUAUUUAUUGUUAUUACUAGAAAACUGACGUGUAGGGAAAUUAUUGUAAAAAGAAAACAAAAAUGUGAAGAUAAGGGUAAGCACGUGUUCCCAUUUGGGUUGCGAAACUUCCACACAAAAAACCAAUACCAUUUGGGACUCUUUGGGAUCUUUUUCCAAUGGCAUUAAUUAUAUAUAUAAUACACACACUUUGGGUCCUUUUCAACUAAACUAUAUCCGAUUGACAUAAUAUUGGCCCUAUUUCCAUGUGUGCAUGGAAGAAUGAGCUAAGAAACGGACGUCAUUUUUCAAAAUUAUGUACGUCAUACACUGCCCCUUGCCCAUUACCCCGCUCUAUAUAACCUUAAGACACCUUCUCACAGUUAUUAAAAAAAAACACCACCUCCAAAAUGAGUAUCCUCAGAAACCUCCUAGUCUUCUGCAUCCUAUGUGCCACUCUCUUCUUUGCAUCAACCAAUGCAGCUCAUUUCGAUAUCCGAAACAACUGCCCCUUCACCGUCUGGGCAGCCGCCACGCCAGGCGGCGGACGCCAACUUAAUAGAGGCGAAAAUUGGGGCAUAGACGUGGCUGCCGGAACCAAAGGGGGUCGCAUUUGGGCCCGGACCGGAUGUACCUUUGAUGGAGCUGGACGUGGGAGAUGCCAAACAGGUGAUUGUGGGGGUAUCCUUCAAUGCCAAGCCUAUGGCCAACCCCCAAACACCCUAGCUGAAUAUGCCCUUAACCAAUUUAGCAACUUGGAUUUCAUUGACAUUUCCCUUGUUGAUGGCUUUAAUGUUCCCAUGGAAUUUGGUUCCACGUCUAGUGGGUGCACUAGGGAUAUCAGAUGUACGGCUGAUAUUAAUGGGCAGUGUCCUGGCCAACUGAGGGCUCCAGGAGGCUGCAACAACCCUUGCACUGUGUUCAAGACUAAUCAAUAUUGCUGCAAUUCUGGGAGGUGUGAACCUACAGAUUUAUCUAGGUUUUUCAAGAUGCGGUGCCCGGAUGCUUAUACACUACUACAAAAAAGCAAAAAGACGACGGUAAAUCACCGUCGUGUAUUUGGUUUUUCAAUGGUCGUGGAAUCCACCGUCAUCUUUUCCCUCAUAAACCACGACGCUAAAUAACCGUCGUUGUUAAACAAUACAACGUCAUCAAAAAAUACAAAACGACGUCUUUGUACUGCAAAAGAUCUAAAAAAAGCAAUCGAUGAUGAUAAUAGACGACCAAUUCUCUAAAAAGACCGUCGUUAAAAAGGGAAAAUAUGACACAUAUUAAGAGAACAAGGCCGCAAGAUAGACAUACAACGACGACAAUAAAAAUACGCCGACGUUAAAUAUAAUUUUCACGACAAUAAAAAAUAUGACGUCUUUAAAUACAUUAGAAGACGACGUUAUUGAUACCUACUACGUCGCACAUAUAAACACAACCGUCGUACAAUUAAUUUUCCACUUCGAUUUUUUGAUAAAAGAUGACGUGGAAAUAGUUGUCAGUGUCAUUAUUUACGACGUAUGUGUUUCUAUAGUAGACGUUGAAAAACUAAACAACGUCAGUUACAAAUAUAUGAGAGUCGUAUUAAAAAAUUUAUACGUCCUAUUUUCAGAAACAAACAACGACCAUAAAUAUUAGACGUUGUUAAAUACAACAACGUCGGAAAACAAUAAAAACAGACGUGUUUAGUCUGCUAAAGUUCUACAACGUCUCUUAUUUACAAAAAACCGUCGUGAAAUAAAUUUUCCACUUCGAUUUUAUCUAAAAAAGAUGACGUGGAAAUAGUUGUCAGUGUCAUUAUUUACGACGUAUACAUUUAUAUAGUCGACGUUGUAUUUAUAUGUAUUCAUUACUCACGACGCACUUAAUAAUAUAGACGACGUUGAACGUCUAAACAACGUCGGUUCCAAAUAAAUGAGAGCCGUAUUACAGAACAUAUAGACGGCGUAGAUUAUGAUGGGAGCCGUAUUACAAAUAACGUCGUUUAAUUGUUAUUAGACGGCGGUUAUAAUGAAUUUCCGUCGGAAUUAAUUUCGUUCCUCUUCGUUUAUAAAAGAACUUGCGACGUGGAAAAUGUAUGAUGACGUCGUAUUUUUUAACGUUCAGAUUACAUAUCUCGUUUUUUAGACGUCGGUAUUAUGGGAUUGGAGUCGUGUUAUUUUGAAUUACAUGGCGGUUCUUUAUCCUUCACCGACGUGAUAUCCUGAAUAAUUGCUUCACAAUAGCGUCGUGGUUCUUCAUUGUUACGUUGCUUUAAGACGUCGGUAAAUAUGCUGAAUAACUGAUUCACAAUAACGUCGUGUUUUAUUUGAACGUAGAAAGUGAAGAAAUCACAUUACAAUAUAUUACAAAAUUAAUGUCAUACACUGCCAAUUACAUAAGCAUCAUUCAAUCCAUAUAUCUUCACACCCAUCUCGAAUAUUUUGACCGCCUAACUCACCUACCAGUUCAUCAAAUGUGUCAACAUUUGGCAUCCCUCUAGUAAAUGGCUCACACUCAAUUAUCACAUCACCUAAUACUUCAUCACCAAUAACAUCAUUAUAUUCUCUACUAGGCAUUGAUAACACUACCGACCAACCACGAUGCAUCGGGUCGUCAACAAAAAAUAUUUGUUUGACUUGAGAAGCCAAAACAAAUUGGUCAUUCCUAUGUCCAAUUUUACUCAAAUCUACAAGGGUAAAUCCAAGUUCGUCGACUACAAGACCAGAACUAUCUAUCCAAUCACACCUAAAGACUGGGAUUGUAAACUUUUGGUAGUCAAGGUCCCAAAUUUCUUGAAUGACACCAUAGAAACCCAUAUUUGAGAGAAUUGGGUUUUUAUCCUUGGCACUAGCAACUUGCAUGGUAUGUGCAAGUAAAUAAACUCCACUAUUUUGAGUUGUCCGCACAUCAUCUUGUGCCUUGAUAUUGAAUUUAAUACCUUUAAUAAGAUAGCUCCUAUAUAAUGGCACUGACAUGUUUGGACCAGCUGCUAGCCACCUUAAAUUUUCUGAUACGCCAUGAUUGUCUUCCUCAACUUCACUUUGAACCUGCAAAUUAAUCAUAUCUUAAUUCAUCCUAACAUAUAAAUAAGAAGAAAAUUAAAAGAGAAAUACGUUAUUCAACAACAUAUACCUUGAAGCGUAGCCAUUGAAUGAAAGUGCUAUUGUGCUUAUCCUGCAGCCACUUUGUUCUCUUUCUAAAUUUUGGAUAAGCAGUCUUGAUGUGGAUCAUAUGUUGCCUACAUGACACGAAAAAUUCAAGCAUUACGGUCCCAAAUAUAUAAGAUAAACAUAAGAAAUAAUUUUAAAUGGAAACUUAAAGAAUAAAACUCAUACGUACUCGAUAUAACUUCACUAAUGCCGAUAACUUCGUGUACUUUCUACAACCAGGGUACACUGGUUGAUCUCCAUCCCCAAUCACAUUGGCAAACUCAUACGGAUCCGAACCAAAAUCACCAAAAUCAUUAUCAUCCAUAUCAAUUUCUUCAGACACAAAACUGUACCUACUAUGGCCAUCAUCUUCUUCAACAUUUCUGCUAGCAUUAGUAGUUGCUUCCCAAGGUUCUCCGUGAAAUGUCCAAUUCUUAUAGCUUUGGUCAAUUCCAUUAAAGUAUAAGUGAUCCCUUAUAAUUCCAACCCCAAACAACUUCAAAUUAACACAUUUAACACAUGGACAACGGAUAUGUGUUGUAGUUAGAAGAUUUUCUACAGCAAAGUUCAAAAAUGCUUCCACCCCAAACUCAUAUGCCUUCGAUCUUCUAUCCGAGUGCAUCCAUGACUUAUCCAUCUCCGACACUAUAACCUAUUAUCUAUAAUAAAGUGAAAAUACAGGCAAUGACCAUCACUAUAGCAGAUUAUACAAUGAUCUAAUCGCAAGUAAUAAACAACAGAGACGACGGGUUUUAAUCAAAAACAGACGUAUUUGGCAUAUAUAGACGACGGAUUUUCAACAGACGUCGUCUAUUAUACGUAAUACAAACGACGGUUUAUGAAAAAACCGUCGUGUAUAAGUAAUACAACGACGGUAGUUUAAAAACACCGUCGUGUAAUCGUCGUCGUACGCCUUAAAAUUCGUCGUGUCUCAGUUUAUUUUCAAGAACACAAAACCCAUUAAGAACACAACAUAUAUAUGAAACCAAGCAAGAAACCAACANNNNNNNNNNNNNNNNNNNNNNNNNNNNNNNNNNNNNNNNNNNNNNNNNNNNNNNNNNNNNNNNNNNNNNNNNNNNNNNNNNNNNNNNNNNNNNNNNNNNNNNNNNNNNNNNNNNNNNNNNNNNNNNNNNNNNNNNNNNNNNNNNNNNNNNNNNNNNNNNNNNNNNNNNNNNNNNNNNNNNNNNNNNNNNNNNNNNNNNNNNNNNNNNNNNNNNNNNNNNNNNNNNNNNNNNNNNNNNNNNNNNNNNNNNNNNNNNNNNNNNNNNNNNNNNNNNNNNNNNNNNNNNNNNNNNNNNNNNNNNNNNNNNNNNNNNNNNNNNNNNNNNNNNNNNNNNNNNNNNNNNNNNNNNNNNNNNNNNNNNNNNNNNNNNNNNNNNNNNNNNNNNNNNNNNNNNNNNNNNNNNNNNNNNNNNNNNNNNNNNNNNNNNNNNNNNNNNNNNNNNNNNNNNNNNNNNNNNNNNNNNNNNNNNNNNNNNNNNNNNNNNNNNNNNNNNNNNNNNNNNNNNNNNNNNNNNNNNNNNNNNNNNNNNNNNNNNNNNNNNNNNNNNNNNNNNNNNNNNNNNNNNNNNNNNNNNNNNNNNNNNNNNNNNNNNNNNNNNNNNNNNNNNNNNNNNNNNNNNNNNNNNNNNNNNNNNNNNNNNNNNNNNNNNNNNNNNNNNNNNNNNNNNNNNNNNNNNNNNNNNNNNNNNNNNNNNNNNNNNNNNNNNNNNNNNNNNNNNNNNNNNNNNNNNNNNNNNNNNNNNNNNNNNNNNNNNNNNNNNNNNNNNNNNNNNNNNNNNNNNNNNNNNNNNNNNNNNNNNNNNNNNNNNNNNNNNNNNNNNNNNNNNNNNNNNNNNNNNNNNNNNNNNNNNNNNNNNNNNNNNNNNNNNNNNNNNNNNNNNNNNNNNNNNNNNNNNNNNNNNNNNNNNNNNNNNNNNNNNNNNNNNNNNNNNNNNNNNNNNNNNNNNNNNNNNNNNNNNNNNNNNNNNNNNNNNNNNNNNNNNNNNNNNNNNNNNNNNNNNNNNNNNNNNNNNNNNNNNNNNNNNNNNNNNNNNNNNNNNNNNNNNNNNNNNNNNNNNNNNNNNNNNNNNNNNNNNNNNNNNNNNNNNNNNNNNNNNNNNNNNNNNNNNNNNNNNNNNNNNNNNNNNNNNNNNNNNNNNNNNNNNNNNNNNNNNNNNNNNNNNNNNNNNNNNNNNNNNNNNNNNNNNNNNNNNNNNNNNNNNNNNNNNNNNNNNNNNNNNNNNNNNNNNNNNNNNNNNNNNNNNNNNNNNNNNNNNNNNNNNNNNNNNNNNNNNNNNNNNNNNNNNNNNNNNNNNNNNNNNNNNNNNNNNNNNNNNNNNNNNNNNNNNNNNNNNNNNNNNNNNNNNNNNNNNNNNNNNNNNNNAAGUGAUUUUAUGACUCAUCAAAACAAUUUGUUUGGAUGGUCAUUUUAAAUUUUGUAUUCAAAAUGAAUUUUCAAGGUUUAUGUGGAAGAAAAUAUAUCAAUGACUUCAUAGGAGUUGACUUUUCAAUUUUCUGAUUUAUUUUAAAUUUAUUUUGAAUAUUUUGAUAUAAAAAUAAUAAAAUAUUCUUACCACAACAACAAACCACGUCGGUGUUAAUAAAUUGUAGACGUUGUAAAUUGUAAUAGACUACUAAGUCGUUAAAAUGACGUCGUUAAAAUGAGAAACCAUGGCGGCUAUUUAACUAUACGACGUAAAAUAUAUAUAUCAACGACUUAACCGCUGUCGUUACAUAAACGUCGUCGAUGAUACCCUGAACCCUUAAGAAAUUGAAGAUGUUGUAAACCAUAAACGACUCAAUUGUUCAAAGAACGUCGUCUAACUAUAUUUUUACGUCGUAAUUGUUUAAAACACGAAACAACAAAAUACGACGGUUUGUGACUUUAUUAGGUCGUUGGAAAAGUAUUACACGUCGGUUAAGCAAUUUGUAUGUUUGUUUUUUUUUUAAUUUAAGAAAACCUCAACAAAUUUUUACAUUACAUAUUAUAGAGAAAAUUUGUACAUUAUACAUAAAUAUCAAGUGUUCAAUAAUUGCCCUGUUUAAUAAUUUGGAAAACAAACUCUGCCCAUUCAUUCCGGACUUCAUCAAUGGCUUCUUGGGGGUAUGAAGCUUCCUGGUUUCCCUUGGCAUACUGCAUAAACAAUGACUAUUAGGGUUUAUAAAUAAAAAGAAAUUCAAUCACAGACGACGAUAUUUUUCAUAACCGACGUAGUAUAUCCAUUCAACGACGUUAAUUUUACAUGACCGUCGUUGAUAAUACAAAAAACGACGUGAAAUGUAUGAAGGUAAUUUCUUCUUACCUUAUUCUCAAACCCCAAGGAAGGAUCCAUGAUGAUGUCCCUCAUGAAGCGCAUCACAUAAUACCCGCAUUCGACAUUGCUGGGUUGCUUUGGUGUGCCUGAGAGAGUUUUCCAAAUUACAUUUUUACGUCCUGCUCGGCCUAUGUGGGUAUUAUAUAUUUUUAAAGCACUGUUCACGAUGUUUUUCGCCUCUUCGUCGACCACACGAUGACCUGGCAGAGGAUCCAGAAAAUAGACGGUCUCCUUCUUUGCUCUUACAAUCAGCAGGAUCCAAUGACGGCUGCACAAAAUUAAUAUAAAAACGACGGUUAUUUACAAAAACGACGUAUUAUAGUAUUUCACACGACGAAAUAAAGUAGAUAACGACGACAUUAUAUAUUUAUCACGACGACAAAUAAAUACCGACGUGGUUAGUAGUUUCAAACGACUAAAUAAAAUAAAACACCGACGUGGUUAGUUUAUAAGCUGUCAUUUAUUGAAAAUCAUAAAAACAAAAUCCUAAGGAGACUAACCCUGGAUUGUAAGGCAUCAUGAAAAGCUGUUCACCGUCUGUCUUCUGAAGUCGAGCUGCUACCAGUCGUGAUCUUUCAGUUAUUGUGCCAGAGUUGGCACUAACUGUAGCAGGGUCAAUAAAGCCAACCAUGCUGCACAUAUUGGCUUGUUUCAAAACAUCGUGUAAGUACCUAAAUACAUAAAAUAAUAUAAACAAGUCAGCACAAACAAACACGACGGUUAUGUAUAAAAAAACGACGUAUUAUAAUAUUUCACACGACGUACUGAAAUAGAUGAGGACGUUAUAAUAUAUUUAUCACGACGGUAGUUAGUUAAGACGACGUGGUUAGUUAGUUAAGACGACGCAAUAUAUAAACCAACGAGGUAUUAUUUUAGAAGUACAAACCUCAUAUAUACAGCCAAUACAGUAGCUCCAAUUUCUUCCAUGCCUGCAAAUUGUGUAAUAUCUUCAGGCAGGAGGAAGGUAUCGCGCUCACCACCAAACACCUCCUUAUCAAUUGUAAAUUGGAGUGUCUUAUCCUCAGGCAGGAGUGUCGUUUCCACAAAACGACAAAGGGUUUUUAAAGAAGAUGGCGCCUCCAUAUUUGAAUAAGCACCAACUUCAAUAACCUGUUUAAAGAAAUAAAAAAAAUGACGUGGUAAUUCAAUAAAGACGACGGUUUAAGUAAUAAAACGUCGUCUUAAAAGUAUUUAAACGACGGUGAAAAAACUGUCGUGGUAAUUCAAUAAAGACGACGGUUUUAUGAAUAAAGCGUCGUCUGAAACCAUUUAAACGACGGUGCAAAAACCGUCGUUUAAAUAUUUUAUUACGUCUUAAAAAAAUUCCGCCGUCUAAGUUUUAAACAAACGACGGAUUAAAUAAAAAUAUCGACGUCUGAAAUUUUGAAAAACAAAUAAAAAAGGCAAAGUUAUGUGAACAUACCUUGUCGUCAUGCUUUUCUUCAUCUUCUUUCUCCUUUUCUUCUUCCUUCUCUUCAUCUCUUUUUUCUUCUUCCUUCUCUUCAUCUGGCUGAUGUUUCCCCAUUUUGGCAGUAUCAUCCUCCAAAUGUAGGGAUCUCACAUAACCUCCAGAGCAGCUAGCUUUGUCAGACAUUGGAUUUUUGGGGCUUUGGCUAAUUCUUGGUUUAAGCAUGCUUGGAUCAAAAUUGGGAAUUAAUUGGGAAAGCUGACUCAGGAAAUGCUCCCUCUCAGCCUCUACCAAUUGUUUUGUCCUAGCCUCCAUCCUUAAGGCCUCUUCCCUUGCCUUAGCCUCCAUCUUUUUAGUCUCUUCUUGAAGGAGAACUCUUAAACUGUCCUUCAAACGGUCGUCAAAGCUCACCCUCUGUGGUUUGGGCAAAUUGAAAUAUUGCCUUGGGGAAACACCAGCACCAACUCCCCUCAGUCUGCCUGGAUGCUCGGGGCCCAAAGCCAUGGUCAGCACAUCAUUGCUGCCAUCUACUCUGACUUUGCCUUCCGAGACUUGUUUCUGCAAUUCAUCCUAAAAAAAGAUAAACAAAAAAACACACGACGGUUAUUUAUGUACAAACGACGUAUUAUAUAAUUUCACACGACGCAAUAACGUAUAAACCGACGUUAUUAUAACUUAUCACGACGGUAGUUAUACCGACGUGGUUAUUUAUUUAAAACGACGAAAUGAAUAAACAACCGACGUCUUAUGCUAUAAUUAAAGAUAACAGAGUAGUGAUUCCUAUUUAGACCGUUAACGACGUUUUUAAAAAAUUUUCGACGUGGUAAUAUCAUUCACACGACGCGAAAAUGAACCACCGACGUCUUAUGCUGUAAUUACAGAAAACAUAGUAGUGAUUCCUAUUUAGACCUUUAACGACGUUUUUAAAAACUUUUCGACGUGGUAAUAUCAUUCACACGACGAAAAAUAUAACAUACGACGUAAUAAGAAUAAUUCACAGUUUAAUAAAAAUUUAAAACAGAGUGAUAGUAGGCUUACAAUUAAUUUUGCUUUCUCUGCCACCUUUGGAUCAGGGAUGUUACCAUGUUUGUCCUGUCUAGCUCUCUUCCAUAAGGUAGAUCGAUCAAUUUCUACCCCAGGCAUGGUUUCCUCCAAUUGAUCCUCCAAUCCAGCAUAUCCUUUUCGAGACAAUCGAUGAUUGUACUCGAGUUUCUCCCUAAUCUGUGCAUGUUGAGAAUGCACAGACUCAAAAUCUUUGGAUAGCCUUGAAGCUACAAAGGCAUCCCAUUGUGCUUUCUCUAUGAAUUUAUAUGUUUCAGGGGGUUGGCUUAAUUUCUCCCUGUCAUUGGUGUAUGGAAGGAUAUAAUGCCUCGUUAGUGUAGACUUGAAAUCCUUCCAUUUCUUGGAAGCAGAAGCUAAAACAGAGGUCUUGCCCCCUUGGCCUACGACAAAAGCCAUGUCAACUGCUUCCCAAAUCUGCUCCUUUAUAUCCUUGGGGAUUUGGGACCAUUUCUUGUCCACAAGUGGGAUCCUGGAGCGUGCCAACACACCAAUAUACGACUGCAUCUCAAUAUGUGCUUGGCCAACACCUUUCCCCCUUUUAUUGUACUCAACAAUUGGCCUCAGUUUCUGAAGCUUUCUCUUCACAACACGAGGCAUUGUGCUCAUACCUCGACCAGUCUUUGAAUCAUCUGAGAUUGUUGUCUGGCUGGUUUGUUCUGUCUCAGCAGAUGAUGAAGCAAACUUCAUCUUCUUCGAAGACUUCAUCUCCUUCGAAGACUUAUCUUGAGGAGCUACCAUUCCAAGCUUCUUGGAGCCAGAAUCCUUAGUUUGUUGUUGAGAAACCAUUUUAACAGACAAAACUGCAAGUGAAAAUAUUUCAGGAAAACAUUAAGAACACAAACGACGGUAUUAAAAAAAUACGACGUAUGAUAUGAUUUUAGACGACGCAAUGAAAUAAUCUCAGACGUAAUAAAUGUUUAAAACCAUUAUUUAUAUAACGUCGUGGUAUAUAUGUUCACACGACGUCAAUAGUAAUACACCGUCGUGGUAAACUAUUAUUUAUAUUUUAUCGUCUAUAUUAGAUACCAACCCUAGUUUCUUUUUCUUUAUAUUUUAUCAAAUAAGGGAAAAACAAAAACCAUUGUUCAGCGAAAUCAAACCUGCAAUUAAACAAGCAUAUAAAAAAAGACUAUUAUUUUAAAAACAACUUUGUCAAUUUUCAGACGACGCUAGAACAACUGACGAACCGUCGUGGUCUACCGUCGUCUUAUUUAGUUGAUGUAGUUGUCUUCAAAGUUGGAAACUUUCUCUCUUUGUCUGUAUAUUUUAUCAAACUUGGAAAGAAGUAAAAUGAUUUUGGCCAGAAAAAAGGUAAAAAGAUUUUUCAAACAAAAAACGUAUGAGCAUGCAAAACAGUAACCAAAAUAGUGAAAAUGAAAGCUUACCUUUUGCGUGCAAUGAAAGCAAGAGGAAGAUGAUCGAUGUUUAAGUUCAGAGACGACGAAGAAGACGAGAGGAAGACGAUGAGAAACUCUGACAAUGCUCUGACAAGGAAAAAAGACGAAAAGGUUUCUCUGGGAGAUUGAAAUUUUUAAUCGGGUUUGGAAACAGUGCAUGUGUAAGUCGAAAAGUUGCUUACAUAUAAAACCAUUUCAAAAAAAUAAUACGGCGGUUACAUUUAACUACGUCGUUUUUAACUAAAACGACGCAAUAUUUUUCAUUCGACGUGGAAUCAUUUCAUUUAACGUCGUUAGGUUUAAUAUAACCGACGUGGAUUUUAAUUUUUAAAUUAUGAAUAGAAUUUUUUUUCCCGUGACCUUUCAGUUUAUUUUUCAAUUACAGUGCGUUAUAAAUAGAGUUUUUUUUCCGGAGGAAAUUUAAAACGAAGGAAAUUAAUAUUCUGCAAUAUGUAAAGUUUCUUUUUUGGAUGACAGAUUUAAAUAAAAUAAAAAUAUAAAAACAACAAAUGUGUAAGUCAAGUAGACGAAAAGUUGCUUACAUAUAAAACCAUUUCAAAAAAAUAAUAUGGCGGUUACAUAUAACUACGACGUAUAAAUUACAAAAUACGACGGUACAUUUAACUUCGGACGUGGUAAAUAAAUACGACAGUAGUUUGUAGGUACCGUCGUAGUAAACUCAAAAAUUAAAGUACAUAAGUAAUAACUCGCGUCAUGGUAUAUUAUUUAACACGUCGUUUUUAUUAAUUUACCGACGUGGAUUUCUGUAAUAUACGUCGAUCAUACCGACGUUGAUUUUACAAUUUAAACGGCGGUUUGUUUGUAAGGACCGCCGUUGGUUUUAAAAAUUUAUUCUAUAAAUUUGUCGCUUUCAUUCAUUUUCGGUUUACAUUUAAGGUUCCAAGUUCUUCCUCUCUCAGUCUCUCAUGUCUCAAAGAUAAUAAUUUGGAUGUUUUCUCAAAGAGAAAUUGAGCUUACUCGCAUCAAAUAUAUGUCCACAAGAAGAAGCUUGUCAACUAGCCUUCUCACUUCCUUGAUCAAGCCUGAUAGGACACUUAGUGCUUCUGAAUACUCCUUGCUUUCCAUCAAAAGAGAUGCAAGCCUGGCCUCCACUCGCUGUCGAAGGAAAGUUCGCUUCUCAGGGAAAUCUGAAGAUCAGAUGUGCCUGAUCCUCUGCUUGAUUUUCUUGCCUAAGAAGAUCCGUCGGAUUUAUUGUGAUAGCCUCUUCCUUUAUCCGUAGAGCUUCAGAAGAAGAAGAUGGGUUUCAAGAAUGCGAUAAAGAAUAGAAAUGGCUUCAGAUGGCCUCUAAAGCAUGAGCAAUUGAAUCAGUAGUUUCUGGGAGAUAUGAUGAAGACAUUGUCAAUGCUUUGAACUACACAAGUCCUGCAGAAAGAUAUGUUAAAGAAACUGAAACAACGGCGGUUUUCUGUUCUACCGUCGUCUUUUCUCGUCGUCUAUAUUAAGUUACGAUGGCGGUAGAUUUAUAAUUACCGACGUAGAUUAUUUUGUUAAACGUCGUUAAGUGUACUACAACCGACGUGGAUUUUAAUUUUAAAUUAUAAAUGGAGUUUUUUUUCCCGUAUUCUUUCAGUUUUAGUUUUCAAUUCCAAAGCGUGAUAAAUAGAUUUUUCUUUCCCGAGGAAAUUUAAAAUGAGGGAAAUUAAUGUUCUAGAAUUUGUAAACUAACACGACGCAAUAUUUGCAAAUCUGUGUCAUCUGUUAAGAUUAUGAUGUGGAACAGAGUUCCAUCUGGUAAGAUUUCGUAACCCUUGGGAUCUCAGACAAAACUGAUUAUGUCGGCGGUGUUCUAUAUAAACCGUCGUGGUUAUUUCAAUUCUUGUCAUUAAGUAGAUCUACCGACGUAGGAUAAGAAAAUCAAAGAAAAAAAUUGUUAACAAAAAUUCUUAUUAAGACGACCGUUAAAAUUAAAGGUACGACGUAUAAAAUGAAUAAAUACGACGAUAAAUUUUAUUGUACGAUUUAAAGAUAACGUAGUAGAACUAUACGAGAAUGACGUCGAUAUAUUUAUAUUUUCCGUCGUUGUAAAUUAAUUUAAUACGGCGAUAUUUUGUAUUUUAAAGCCGUGGAUUUGUUUGUAAUUAUACGGCGUCUUAUACGAAAACCUCGUCGUGUUAUUUUAUGAGUAAAAACGGCAGUUUUUAUUGAAAUCGUCGUCUUUACUUUCUACGUCGGUCGAUUCAUAACUUCUGCCGUUCUUUGUUGGCAUUGAUUUUACACUGAGGAAAUCUGUUUCAAAUAGACGUCGGUUGUUUAAUUAUGUACGUCGUUGUUUUUGAACAGCCAUUUGAAACUCCAUUUUUUAGUUGUCUAAGGUUGUAUUACACGACGGUGUUUUUAGAACCGUCGUCUUUUUAUAAACCACGACGGUUUUCACUUAGACCGUCGUUGUUUUCUGGUCGUCUUUUUCACUUUUUGUAGUAGUGAUAGCUACCCUCAGGAUGACAAAACAAGCUUAUUUACAUGCCCUGGCGGGACGAACUAUAAGGUUGUGUUCUGCCCAUGAAGAAGCAGAUACAUCUUCUAGUUUAUAAUAUCUAUGAAUAAGUCUGAUGCAAUAAAAUUAGUUUGAGGGCUUUGUCAUCAGCACAUGUAAUGGUGUGCAUUAUGUAAAACAAAGUACCUGUACUCUCUCACUCGGUUCAGACAUCAUAACGAAAUGAAAGUCUCAGUUUUUCAUUUUCUAUUGAGUAGCACCAUCUUUAAUUUCGAUCUAUUCCAUGAAAAAUGACUGAAAAAUAAAGUGAAACUCUUACGAUCAUCAGUCAUGCUUUAUUUUUCUUAAUGCUGGGGGAUUUUGCUUCAUAUAUUACCUAAUGAAUGUGAAAAUUUGGUUACCUACAUUCGAAACUAAUGUUGAAGCUCAAUGGUUUAUUAAAAAAAGGCAUAUCUUCAGUGGCCAUUCCUAGUAAAAGUAUUCAUAUAUGAAAAAGAGACCUAUAAAUGGAAAACAAUUCAGGGUGUCAGAUGCUUGAGAUCUUUAGGGAAGUUUCCUUUAGGGCCGUUUGAUAUAAUUAUUUCAAUUUUACUUUUUAGUUUUAUUUUUUGUGCUAGAGUAGUGAGGGGAAAAGAGGGAGAAUGGAAGUGAGAAUGAGAAUGAAGAUGGGAUUGAGAGGGAAGAUGAGAGGGGAGGAUGGAGGGGAAGAGUAACAAAAGUGAAAACAAAAAUUAAAAACUGAAAAUCUAUUUGGAAUUGUUUUCACUUCCAAGUUUUUGUUUUCACUUUUGUUACUCUUCCCUCCCAUCCUCCGCUCUCAUUCUCUCUCCCAAUCUCAUUCUUACUCUCACUUUUCUCUAUACUCUACCACUAAAAAAAAAAACUAAAAACUAAAAUUGAAAUAGUCAUCAUACGAGCCCUUAUUUUCUUUGGUUUAUUUUUCAGAUUUUAGAGUGUUUUGGUUCUAUCUCUUUUGGAACGCAAUUGUCCCUUCACCGUUUGGGCAGCAAAGUAUUGCAAACUUUGACUAUAAUAUUCCAUUAAUUGUAAUAAUAAUAAUAAUAAUAAAUAAGGCACAAGUCUGAUUCCUAGAAAUUCUCUUAUGGUCUUCGAGAUUUCUAUAGCAAAUUGGAUAAACCCCAUCACUGCUGGCUGUGCUCUGUGCUCUCUUAGUCAAGUCCAUACUUUUUUUUUGUUUGCAGUAUUGACAAAUUUGUAUGUUUACUUUUGCGCAUCAAGCCAAAAACAAAUCUGAACAUAAAUUAUGUAUACAACUCUAUCGAUCUAUUGUAGAAUUGUUCUGCGGACCCAAACUGCAAAAAAAUAUUGGUUCUGUUAAUGAUGAAACUAUAGUCUUCAAUUUUUUAGAAUUAGAAGAAAAACUAAUAGAUCAAUUAUCAUCUCGAUAUAUUGUUAAUAUCGACAUCAUCAAUAGUAUUCCAUUAUAUUAAUAGUAAAUAAUUUUAGUCUUCAUAUCACAUAAGUAUUGAUAAUAAUAAUCCUAUUUGAGAACGAUGUAUGAAACUAAAUACAUCUUAGUAAAAAGUAAGGAUUUUUAAGGCCCUUAAUAUUCCUAGUCCAAAAGAUGCCUAAGGCUAAGGGAGGGGGAGGAAGCAAGUCAAAUUCGAUUUUCUUAGUCUUCUUGUUGACUGGUCAAAAGGAAAAACUUGGUCAUAGCAAUGUAGCUUGUUGUAUACAAUGACAAUUAAUUGAAGGUGGAAAAUAAUGUAUAUGCCAAAAUAUCCAGUCUCCUUGAGAAGCUGUGGACAGAAAGCGUAUUACUAUUUCUCCCGCGUGGACUGGCCACAGAUCCCACCCAUGAGUCUUUCAUGUAUUUUGGCCGCCUGCUACUAAAUUAAUUGGACCAGUCUUUGUGAAAAGGUAUGUCUACCGACAAAAUAUCAAUGCUUACUUAGUAGGAAGUUGAAAUCUUAAAUCUUUAACCAAACAGACCCUAAAUGUGUAUGAAGCUUUUUUAAGAAUUAACAUAAUUAACUGAUGUUUCAGACUCGGAUAAAUUCAAUAUAAUUUCCUUUUUUUUUAGACACAUAUUAUAUUUUGUAUUUUUUGUAUGAUAUAAUAGGGCCAAAAGAGACACAUUCAUGCUUGAUGUCUUAUUGGAUAGGGAUGAUUAGCAACUCCAUACAAAUGUAGCUAAACUUGUCUAAUUGAUUUAAUUUCGUAGAAUAAAAUUACACAUCAUUGAUUUAAUUUGCUUGCUUUUUUUUUUUUCUUCCUUGUGGAAAAAAGGGAAAGUGAAGAAGAAAUUUCUCUUUCCUUUCCAUGUGCAGUAGUGGACAUAGACUAGAAAAUAAAGAAAAUGACCUAAGAAAGGGAUGCCAUUUAAUUUCGUGAUACAGUUCUUCUUUGGUCUAUACAAUUAACCUCAUGAAUAUAGCAUCUUUACAAUUCAAUUCCAAAAUGAGCCUGCUGCUCAUCAGAAAAAACCUCUCAUCAGUUUUCCCCAUCCUAUUGAUCAUCAUCACCCUUUUCGUUGCAACCGUUCAUGCAACACGUUUCGAAGUCCGAAACCAAUGCCACUUCACCGUGUGGGCAGCCUCCAGACCCGGCGGUGGGAAGCAGCUUCUUCCAGGCCAAACUUGGUCCUUCGACGUGAACACGGGUACUUUCCCUGCCCAAAUUUGGGGACGGACUGGGUGCAGCUUCAACGAAGCUGGACGCGGCAAAUGUUUAACAGGUGAUUGUGGAGGUCACCUCAAAUGCCAAGAUUUUGGUCAACCGCCAUACACCAUGGCUGAAUAUCACCCCCAACAAUUUGACUUAGAUUUUUUGGAUAUUUCUCUGGUUGAUGGGUUUAAUCUUCCUAUGGAAUUUAGUCCCACGGGUGGUGGUGAUUGCAAGGGGAUUCGAUGCGCGGCUGAUAUAAACGGGGAGUGCCCUCUUGAUUUGAGGGCACCCGGUGGGUGCAACAACCCCUGCAAUGUCUUCAAUACUGAUCAAUAUUGUUGCAAUUCCACCAGAUGUGGCCCUACGAGCUACUCCAGGUUUUUUAAGGCUCGGUGCCCUGAGGCUUACACUUACCCUCUCGACAGUGACGCCACGUUUACAUGCCCUGCUGGCACUAACUAUAUGGUUCUCUUCUGCCCAUGAUUUAUUGAAUUAACGACAGGUCUUGAAUUUUUGAAGGCCGGAGCAGCGAAGUGUACUAAUUUUGUUUUUGUCUUUUCAGGAUAAUCCAUUGUCUUGUUAGUAUAUUUUUUGUUUUCAAGAACCCCUUGAUGUGGAUAUGUGCCUUACUAUCCGUGAGGCACACAUCCAUUAAUAAAAGUUCCACCCUAUUAUAGUUUUCAUAAUCCUAACUUUCACUUUAUAUCUUAUUAUUUGUGUUUUUUUAUGCAGUAAAUUUUAUAUUUAUUUCUGUUAAUGUAGAAUCUUUAUUUUCAAUGAAUAUAGCAUUUAAACCCUAAUUUUUCAACAAUGUCGGCCUCAAAUCCCUUCGCAAUUAAAGGUGAAACUGGAGAAAAAACGACCCACACCACAAAUAGAGGGCAGAAAUAUUGCAUGCAAUUAAGGGUGGAAGAAUAUUCCAAAAUAUCAUAUGUCUCCUUGCGAAUAUAGGGGAGGACUUUUUUUCAGUGUGGACUGACCAUCGAUAUCGACCCAUGAUAUAUAAUAUAUCACAACAAUUUAUAGGGUUGACCCAUAUAUUGUGCCAGCCUGCUGCUAAAUUUAACUGGACCGGCGUUUCUCAAAGCUCAAUAUAAAUCUGUGUGCAUUAUCUUGUCAACCUAUGAAUCAAAACGACAUAUUUACACAACAAUUAGCAUAUAAUUGGAAAUUAGAAAUAUUUAACAACCCAAGUAUUUGGUAAAAAGAGGCAGCUUAAUUUAGAAAUAUUUAACAGUUUGUGAGUCAUGAACCUCAAAGUACGUAUCUUCCACGAUUUCGGUUUUGGCGAAAAGUCUUGGUCUUCUGGAAAGAAUGGACAAUAAGAAACUGUCCAGCAAUUUCAAUGUGUGAAACGAAGACUUCUUCUUUGCCUACAUAUUCCGUGCCCAUUUGAUUAAAUUUGCGCAAGUCCGAUACGAGCUAGAAUUUUUCUUAUCUUUGUUGAGACUUUUGUUAAUGUUGAUCAGUGGAUAUUUACAAUUGGACAGUGGAUGGGAGCCGAAAUUAUAAACGCUUUAUCACCAAACUAAAGUUUCCAACACAAAAAACCAACACCAUUGGCCUUUUCCCUUUUUCCAAUGGCAUUACUAAACUUGGUUAUAGACCUAUAGCAAACUAAUGAUGAUAGAGUAGAAUUGUAUGUGAUCGUAAGGGCAAGCGAUAAAACAAUAUACUUGAAUAUCUUCCUUGCACAAAAAAGAAAAAUUUACAAACAUCCGUUUCAUGAAACGACUCUCUUACAUAUAACUUUAUGUGCCGCUCACAUAAUACACAUGCGAGAAAGUCGUUUUAUAAACGGCCAUAAGUGCAAGUCUAAUGGCAAGAAGUUUCUUGGCUCUUUAUUGAAACUUGCUAUUGUUAGUUGGAUAAUUCUCAUCGAUACUGCCUGCUUAGUGCUCCUUAAUUUAGUCUGGUCAAUUAAUUAACAACUGGCCUAUCCCUUAAUUACGUUCAUAUCCAGCCAAACUCUAAAACUCAGCUCACCAAACUAAUUAAUGGGGUGGGUGAUCCUAAAUGCUGGCCGACUAACUUCAUCAACUUUUACAAGUCGAAGUAAACCACACCAUGUCGAAACUUGGUCAAUUUUCACCUUUUUUCUUUUUCUAAAUCAAUUGUGACAUUUAAAGAAGAUUUAAACUUAUAAAAUCUAACUUGUCUUUGGUGAGGUUUUUAUUUUUAUUUUUUAUAAUUAAUUAUUAUUAUUAUUAUUUUUUGGAGACAUGCGAUAUUGUAUUCAAGGAGAGGAAAUCGAACCUAGGAUCUCGAUGCAAAGGUAAUGCAUUUAACUACUUAAGUUACAAACCCUUUACACCUCCUUUUUGGUGGUUAAUGAAUAGCUAUGUUAACAAUCUUGAACUAUAUUUUCCGUUUAUAAAUAAAGAGGAAUUCAAAUUUAGAAUAUGUUCUAAUAUUGUAUUUAAUGGUGUUUUUCGUUACACAAUUUUUGCUUAAUCAUAUCUUGUCUCAUAACUGACUUAAUUUGUAAAAUAAAAUUACAUGUGCGACAUUACCUACUCCCCGUGGAAAAAGUCUCUCCUCAUUUUUUCUGAUCUUGUGAAAAAAAGAAGAAGAAGAAAUAUUGGUCCUAUUUCCAUGCGUGGAACAAUGAGCUAAGAAAAGUGACGUCCUUUUCAUAUUUAUAAUAUGUCACAUAUGUCGCCAUGCCCUGCUCUAUAUAAGCUUUAGAAACCUUAACAACAAAUGCAUAAAAAAACAAAUUGCAUUAUGAGCAUCCUCAAGACUCUCCCAGCCUUCUGCAUCCUAUGUGCCACUCUCUUCUUUGCAUCAACCAACGCAGCUCGAUUCAAUAUCCGAAACAACUGCCCCUUCACAGUCUGGGCAGCAGCCACGCCAGGCGGCGGACUCCAACUUAAUAGAGGCCAAAGUUGGGCCCUAGAUGUGCAUGCCGGAACCCAAAGGGCUCGCAUUUAAAUUUGGGCCCGAACCGGAUGAAGCUUUGAUGGAGCCGGAUGUGGGAGAUGUCAAACAGGUGAUUGUGGGGGUGUCCUCCAAUGCCAACGCUACUACAUUUUACACUUUGCGCGACGAAUUUUAACGCGACAGAAACUUCGUCGCGCAAAGAUUGUGAAGAAAGACUUUGCGCAACGAAAAAAUAUUGGUCGUGCAAAGUAACUUUGCGCGACGAAAAAAUAUUGGUCGCACAAAACUUAGCGCGACGAAACACAUUGGUCGGGCAAAGGUUUGCGCGACGAAACACAUUGGUUGCGCAAAGGUUUGCGCGACGAAACACAUUGGUCACGCAAAGGUUUGAGCGACGAAAAAUAUUUGUCGCGCAAAGUCUCAAAAAAAUUUAUAAAAAAAUAAAAAAUUCCCGCUUCCCAUUUUUGGUACCCGCCUACAUUUUUAGAGUUUUGCGCGAUGAAUACUAACGUCGCGCAAAUAUUUGCGCGACUAAAUAUUUUUUGUGUUUUAAAUUUUUUUAAUUAAAAUAAACUAAUUUAAUAGUUUGCUCUACAAAAUAUUUUGUCGCGCAAGGUUUUUGACUUUUUGUUUUAUUAUUUUUUUAAUAUUAAUUUAUUUAUAUUAGUUUAUUCAAAUUUUUACUUUUUAAAUUUAAUUUAAUUGUAUGAUUUUUUUUAAAUCACUUUAAUUUAAGUUGAUAUUAAUUUUUUCGAAUUUUUACUUUUUAAAUUUAAUUUAAUUGUAAGAUUUUUCUUAAUUACUUUAAUUUAAAUUGACAUAUUCAAAAUAAAAUUACAUAUUAAAAAUAGUGAUCAAAUUAUCCAAUAAAUAUAUAUAUAAUAUUCAAAAUGUACACAUAAAUUAACAAAGUACAAUAAUAAAAUCCUAAUACAAGAGUAUUGUGGUGGUAGUGGCGGAUGAUAUGUUUUGAUAGCUUCCUAAUCCUCAACUUUAGCCAUCAAAGUCUUGAUGAUUACCUACAAAAAAAACAAAUAUGGUCAAAUAACAACAAAAAACAAGAAAAAAGAAUGCAUAAUCUCCCCUAAAAUUGUUAUACCAAAAAUCCAACCCAAACUCCAAUCUCUCCCCUUUACUCAACCCCAAACCCCACACAAACUCAAAACUAACUCCAAAAACACAUAUUAAUGAAAAAAAUUUAAAAUUUGGAGAGAAUAUACCUUUUGGCAAGAUUGAGAGUGAGUGAGAAUGAGAGGGAGAAGUGAGUGUGAGAGAAGUAGAUAAGAUAGUGAUAGAGAGAUGAGAGAGUGAGAGAUAGUGAAAAGAUAGAUGAGAGAGUGAGUGAGAGUGAGAGAUAGUGAAGAGAGAUAUGAGGGAAAGAGAGAGGAGAGGUAAGAGUAGAGAAAGACAUUGAGAAAAUGGUGGAGGAGUUAUUUUGGUUUUAAAAAUCGUAUCACUUUGCGGGACGAAAAAUAUUGCUGGUCACGCAAAGUUUUGCUCGACGAAUAUAGGAAUAUUGGUCGCGCAAAGUCUAAAAAAAUUAUUUUUUUUUUAAAAAUUUCCCGCAUCCCACUUUUGGUUCCCGCCAAAAUUUAACUUUGCGCGACGAAAAAUACAUAUUGGUCGCGCAAAGUCUAAAAAAAUUAUUUUAAAAAAAAAAAAUUUCCCGCAUCCCAUUUUUGGUACCGCCAAAAUUUAACUUUGCGCGACGAAUAUAGGAAUAUUGGUUGCGCAAAGUCUAAAAAAAAUUAUUUUUUUUAAAAAAAAAUUCCCGCAUCCCAUUUUUGGUACCCGCCAAAAUUUUUAAAUUUUUGCGCGACGAAAAGUACAUAUUGGUCGCGCAAAGUCUAAAACAAUUAUAUAAAAAAAGUCCCGCGUCCCAUUUUUGGUACCGGCCAAAUUUUUGCGCGACGAAAAAUAUAUAUUGGUCGCGCAAAGUUUUGAGGGACAAAAAAUAUUGGUCGUGCAAAGUCUAAAGUUUUUUUUUAUUUUAAAAACCCGCGUCCCAUUUUUGUUACUCGCACAAAUUUUUUGAGUUUUGCACGACGAACUGUUGGUCGCGCAAACUUUUGAGAGACAAAAAAUUGGUUCGUAGCACAAUAUUUAUAAAAAUAAUUGUUUUGAAUAAGAAAAAAUAAAAAAAAUUAUUUUAUGAUUUAAAAUAUAAUUAAGGUGAAAGCUACUUAAUAAAUGUAUAUACUAUUCAAUUUCUUAAGUGUUAUACGUACAAAAUAAAUAAAUUUAAAACUACUUAAUAAAUAUAUAUAUAUAUACACACACACACCAUUCAACGAUCCAACCGUAAGACUUGUUUGUAUAUACUUCAAGAUCGUAUACCCCAAAAAUUGCAAAAAAUAAAUAUUCAGAGAUCUAGUAACGGGACAAAACUUUUCGAUAGUUAUAAAUGAAAAAUCACGAUUUAACGGUUAUUUUGACUCCGAUUUUGAUGAUUUUUUUACAGGUACACUCCUUGACCCUAUAUGAAUACAAUGACUGAAUUUGAUCUUCAAUUUAAAACAUUUGCACUAGUGGAUACCACAAAAUCUUAUGUUAUAUUUAACGAAAGUAUAAAUAAUUAAUUGUUAGUGAAUAUAUUGUUUUGAUGGUAUAUGCAUUCUAGAAACUAGUUUCAACGAUCCAACCGUCAAACUUGUUUUUUUAUACUUCGAGAUCAUAUACGCCAAAAAUCGGAAAAAAUAAACAUUCAUAGAUCAAGUAAUGGACAAAACUUUUCGACGGUUAUAAAUAAAAAAUCAUGAUUUAACGGUUAUUUUAACUCCGACUUUGAUGAUUUUUUAUAGCUACACUCCUUGACCCUAUAUGAAUACAAUGACUGAAUUUGAUCUUCAAUUUAAAAUAUUUACACUAGUGGAUACCACAAAAUCUUAUGUUAUAUUUAACGAAACUAUAAAUAAACUCUUAAUUGUUAGUGAAUAUAUUAUUUUGAUGGCAUACACAUUCUACGAAAUUAGUUUUAACGAUCCAACCGUCAAACUUGUUUGUUUAUACUUCGAGAUCAUGUAUGCCAAAAAUCGGAAAAAAUAAGCAUUCAUAGAUCAAGUAACGGGACAAAAAUUUUCGACGGUUAUAAAUGAAAAAUCAUGAUUUAAUGGCUAUUUUAACUCCGAUUUUGAUGAUUUUUUACAGCUACACUCCUUGACCCUAUAUGAAUACAAUGACUGAAUUUGAUCUUCAAUUUAAAAUAUUUACACUAGUGGAUACCACAAAAUCUUAUGUUAUAUUUAACGAAAGUAUAAAUAAACUCUUAAUUGUUAGUGAAUAUAUUGUUUUGAUGGCAUAUGCAUACAAAAAAACUAGUUUCAACGAUCCAACCGUCAAACUAGUUUGUUUAUACUUCGAGAUCAUAUACGCUAAAAAUCGGAAAAAAUAAACAUUCAGAGAUCAAGUAAUGGGACAAAACUCUUCGACGGUUAUAAUGAAAAAUCACGAUUUAACUGUUAUUUUAACUCCGAUUUUGAUGAUUUUUUAAAGCUACACUCCUUGACCCUAUAUGAAUACAAUGAACUAAUUCGAUCGUCAAUUUAAAAUAUAUAUUUUCUAACAAAAACCCAAUCCGAACAAUAAUAAUAUAUUUUUCUAACAAAAAUCCGAUCCGAUCUAAAAUAAUAAAUUUAAAGCUACUUAAUAAAUAUAUAUACCGUUUAAUUUCUUAAGUGUUAUGCAUACAAAAUAAAAAACAAAAAUAAAUUGGUUUAGGUGACAAAAUGUUUGGAUUACGUCAUGCAAAGAUUUUAAAAAAUAAUUUUUUAAUUUUAUUUAUUUUUAUAAGGACUUUGCGCGACGAAGUUUACUUUUCGUCGCGCAAAGUCACUUUGAGCGACGAAGUUUACUUUUCGUCGCGCAAAGUCACUUUGAGCGACGAAUUAUUUUUCGUCGCGCAAAAUUGGUCGCGCAAGACUUUGAGCGACGAUGUAUUGUCGUCGCGCAAAAGUUUGUCGGGCGAAGUGACUUUGCGCGACGAAUUAUUUUUCGUCGCACAAAAUUUGAUCGCCCAAGACUUUGAGUGACGAAGUUUCAAGUUUCGUCGCGCAAAGUGACUUUGAGCGACGAAUAGUUUUUCGUCGCGCAAAAUUUGGUCGCGCAAGGGGUUUUUUUUACUAGUGACAAGCCUAUGGCCAACCCCAAAACACCCUAGCUGAGUAUGCCCUUAACCAGUACAACAACUUGGAUUUCUUUGACAUUUCCCUUGUUGAUGGCUUCAACGUCCCUAUGGACUUUAGCCCCACGUCUAAUGGGUGCACCAAGGGCAUCAGACGUACCGCGCUGAUAUUAAUGGGCAGUGUCCUAACCAACUGAGGGCUCAAGGAGGCUGCAACAACCCUUGCACUGUGUUCAGGACUGAUAAAUAUUGCUGCAAUUCUGGGAGCUGUGGCCCAACAGACUUGUCUAGGUUUUUUAAGGAUCGGUGCCCGAGUGCUUAUAGCUACCCGAU
rnacentral:lncRNA from 1 species